AUUGAACGCUGGCGGCAGGCCUAACACAUGCAAGUCGAACGAGUGGCGGACGGGUGAGUAAUGUCUGGGAAACUGCCUGAUUGACGGGGAUAACUACUGGAACCGGUAGCUAAUACCGCAUCCCAUCGGAUGUGCCCAGAUGGGAGUAGCUAGUAGGUGGGGGAAUGGCUCACCUAGGCGACGAUCCCUAGCUGGUCUGAGAGGAUGACCAGCCACACUGUAACGGAGACACGGUCAAGACUCCGCGGGGAGGCAGCAGUGGGGAAUAUUGCACAAUGGGCGCAAGCCUGAGGCAGCCAUGCCGCGUGUAUGAAGAAGGCCUGCGGGUUGUAAAGUACUUUCAGCGGGGAGGCGUUACCCGCAGAAGAAGCACCGGCUAACUCCGUGCCAGCAGCCGCGGUAAUUC
rnacentral:rRNA from 1 species